GCUUCUGUGGCGCAAUUGGCUAGCGCGUUCGACUGUUAAGAGAUUAGCAAUCGAGAGGUUGGCAGUUCAAGCCUGCCCAGGAGCG